rnacentral:tRNA from 1 species
GGGGAUGUAGCUCAGUGGUAGAGCGCUUGCCUAGUGUGCAAGAGACCGUAGGUUUCAUUCCUG